UCCGUCGUCGCUCAGUGGCCGAGCAGCUGAUUGUUAAUCAGCCAUCACGCAGGUUCGAAUCCUGCCGACGGAGCCA
rnacentral:tRNA from 1 species